GACGAACGCUGGCGGCGUGCUUAACACAUGCAAGUCGAACGGAAAGGCCCUGCUUUUGUGGGGUGCUCGAGUGGCGAACGGGUGAGUAACACGUGAGUAACCUGCCCUUGACUUUGGGAUAACUUCAGGAAACUGGGGCUAAUACCGGAUAGGAGCUCCUGCUGCAUGGUGGGGGUUGGAAAGUUUCGGCGGUUGGGGAUGGACUCGCGGCUUAUCAGCUUGUUGGUGGGGUAGUGGCUUACCAAGGCUUUGACGGGUAGCCGGCCUGAGAGGGUGACCGGCCACAUGGGGACUGAGAUACGGCCCAGACUCCUACGGGAGGCAGCAGUGGGGAAUAUUGCACAAUGGGCGGAAGCCUGAUGCGGCAACGCCGCGUGCGGGAUGACGGCCUUCGGGUUGUAAACCGCUUUCGCCUGUGACGAAGCGUGAGUGACGGUAAUGGGUAAAGAAGCACCGGCUAACUACGUG
rnacentral:rRNA from 1 species